GGAAUAGUUUCUAAGUCAAAGGGUUUCGUCAAAAUAGCGAGCGUCUUGGCUAACACAACGUCAAAUUGUACAAGAGUGUUGGUGUUUACAAUAUUCCCUUAGUCCCUGAAGGCAACAUGAAGGUGUGGAGAAACAGACAAAAGUCCGGAAGUUAAUUUCCAGCAACAAGACGAACGAGGCUCUUCCUCUCAAGCUAACAAGUCUAAUUUGUUGACAUUCUUAGCAACUGCUUGUUAAAGUCCCUGAAAGCAGCACGAAGGUGUGGAGAAAGCGAUCCGAGCACUGAAGUUCAUUUUCAGCAACAAGAAGAUCGAGGUUGGUGCUCUCAAGAAAGCCAGAAUGGAGGAGUGUAAAAUGUACAGAGGUGAAAUAAAAGGACCUACCGGCUCUUAACACCUGAAAGUUCUAGUUGGGCGUGGAUCACAAACCCUGGGUUUCAUAAGGAGUGAGAAAAUGUAAAGGAUCAAGUGAAAACAUGAGGGAUCAAACGAUGGAUCAGUCUCCUGGAGGAUGAAGAUGAAUCAAAUUCUUUUGGACUAUGUACCAUAAGAAGAAGAUUGGAGGAUUUACAACAAUGUAAUGGAAAAAGAGUUCCAGAGUAUCUGGCAGUGGUGUCAAAGAUUGUGUCUGAAAA